rnacentral:rRNA from 1 species
GAUGAACGCUGGCGGCGUGCCUAAUACAUGCAAGUCGAGCGAACAGACGAGGAGCUUGCUCCUCUGACGUUAGCGGCGGACGGGUGAGUAACACGUGGAUAACCUACCUAUAAGACUGGGAUAACUUCGGGAAACCGGAGCUAAUACCGGAUAAUAUAUUGAACCGCAUGGUUCAAUAGUGAAAGACGGUUUUGCUGUCACUUAUAGAUGGAUCCGCGCCGCAUUAGCUAGUUGGUAAGGUAACGGCUUACCAAGGCAACGAUGCGUAGCCGACCUGAGAGGUGGAUGGGCAACACUGGACUUGAGAAAGGGUCAGAAUCCUUACGGAGGGCACAAGAGGGAAACUUUCGAAAAUGGCGGAAGGCCGAAGGAGGCAACGCGGGGGGGGGGAGGAGGGCUUUCGAUCGGUAAACCCCUUUUAUAGGGAAAAAAAAAUGUGGAAGUAACUAUGCAAGGCUUGAACGGUACCAAAUAGAAAAGCACGGCUAACUACGUG